rnacentral:rRNA from 1 species
UUUUCCGUAGGGUAACCUGCGGAGGGAUCAGGACACAAAUAUGAGGCGGGCUGGACCUCUCGGGGUUACAGCCUUGCUGAAUUAUUCACCCUUGUCUUUUGCGUACUUCUUGUUUCCUUGGUGGGUUCGCCCACCACUAGGACAAACAUAAACCUUUUGUAAUUGCAAUCAGCGUCAGUAACAAAUUAAUAAUUACAACUUUCAACAACGGAUCUCUUGGUUCUGGCAUCGAUGAAGAACGCAGCGAAAUGCGAUAAGUAGUGUGAAUUGCAGAAUUCAGUGAAUCAUCGAAUCUUUGAACGCACAUUGCGCCCUUUGGUAUUCCAAAGGGCAUGCCUGUUCGAGCGUCAUUUGUACCCUCAAGCUUUGCUUGGUGUUGGGCGUCUUGUCUCUAGCUUUGCUGGAGACUCGCCUUAAAGUAAUUGGCAGCCGGCCUACUGGUUUCGGAGCGCAGCACAAGUCGCACUCUCUAUCAGCAAAGGUCUAGCAUCCAUUAAGCCUUUUUUCAACUUUGACCUGGAUCACGUGCGAUAAAAGCUGAAACUAAGCAUAUCAUAACGCGGAAGGAAAA